AAAGUCGUAACAAGGUUUCCGUAGGUGAACCUGCGGAAGGAUCAUUAGCGCUUGCAAUUUUUUCCUUUUUUUCUUUUUUUCAAACUCGUGUGCAAAUGUGAACCUGUUUGGUUUUCUGAGUGUGUGAGAGAAACAGGGGUGUUCUCCUUUUCCUCUCAUCCCACCACAACCACACAAACUCCAUCUUUGAUUUCACACAAUUGUCAUCAAACCAAAUUCUAAACAUAAAACACAAAAACAACUCUUAACAAUGGAUAUCUUGGUUCUC
rnacentral:misc_RNA from 1 species